UACGUAGGGCGCAAGCGUUGUCCGGAAUUAUUGGGCGUAAAGAGCUCGUAGGCGGUUUGUCGCGUCGGAUGUGAAAGCCCGGGGCUUAACCCCGGGUCUGCAUUCGAUACGGGCAGACUGGAGUGUGGUAGGGGAGAUCGGAAUUCCUGGUGUAGCGGUGAAAUGCGCAGAUAUCAGGAAGAACACCCGUGGCUAAGGCGGCUCUCUAGUACGGUACUGACGCUGAGACGCGAAAGCGUGGGGAGCGAACAGG
rnacentral:rRNA from 1 species